rnacentral:lncRNA from 1 species
AAAAAUCCUCUGAAGGGAAUUUCCAUAGUCCAGAGAAUUAACUAUCUUCAAUGACAGAUUACAGGUUGGCUAUGUACACACAGCUAUAGCAACAACAGAAAAGGACAAAUACUACACGUUUAAAACAAUUUUUCCAGAGUUUCUGGAGCUUGGACUUCACACCAUUACCUGCAGCUUAGUAUCUCUUCAGGGAUUUAAUCAUCCCAAUCUAUAAACAUAUUAUUUUGGGAAAACAGUUCUUGUUACACUGCUUACAAUAACGCAACAAGUCAACUCCUGUAACUGUUACUAAGAACAGCCAAGAAGGCCAAUGCUAUCCUGGAGGGUAUUAGGAAAAGUGUGGUCAGCGGGCCGAGGGAGGUGACCUCCCCCCCUACUCAGCCCUUGUGAGGUCACAGGUUCCUCUGUACAGGGGAGAUCUGGAACUACCCCAGAACCCAACAGAGGGCCGCCAAGAAAAUGAAGAGACUGCAGCACUUCUCUGAUAAGAAAAGGCAGUGAUCUGGAUGUGGCCAGCCUGGAGGACACAGAUGAUUUUAUCCAUACAUACAAGUAUCUUAAGUUAGGUUGUCAAUAAGAUGAUGGCCAGACCCUCCAGCUGUGCCCAGCAACAGGCUAAGAGGCAGCGGGCACAAUUUUAACCACAGGAAGUUCCAUGCGAAGAUGAAGAACAAUUUCUCUGCUGUGCAGGUGACACAGCACUACAACAAGCUGCCUGGAGAGGCCGUGGAGUCUCCUCUGGAGAAGGCUUGUGCAAGUUACAAAGCAAUUCAUUAAUGCUGAACAGGAACACUUCAGGUACACGACGG